AAAUUUUAAAAUUUAAAAUAUAAAUAUAAAAUAUAAAAAUUCAAAUUCUAAUAUAAAGAAAGAGAUAAUAUUAUUAUUUUUUAUUUAUAACUAUCCAUUUUAAUUCUUAUUCCAUCUUACCUAACCAAACGUUAUUUUUCUUAUUCCCAUCAAUAACCUAAUUUUCAUCCAAACGCAAAAUUGAUUUAAUCCUCGCUUAUACCUCAAUUUAUGCCUAUCCCUGGAAUACCCAUUUUUUGCUUAUUCUCGAACCAAACGAUACCUAAGUGUAUUUUAAAAAUUAGAAUUUUUAUGAGAGAGAUAUCUUUUAUACAUUACUUUGACUAUAAUGAAAUAUUCAUUUCGUUUUUGUCCGUAGAUAUAUGGCAGUGACUGAACCACAUAAAUAUUUGUGUGUUUUAAUUUUCUUCUUUCUUUCUUAAUUUUUCGGAUAUUUUUUGUACUCGACGAGCUAAAUCUUUUUCGCUUUUAUUAUAGCAUUUU
rnacentral:lncRNA from 1 species